rnacentral:sRNA from 1 species
UGAUAUAGGUGUCUAAAAGAAAAACUCGAACAUGCUUGCAUGGUGAGAGUUUUGCUUUUAUGACCCAAACAAAUAUGAGGAAAUAGCAAUUUACGCAGUAAAUUAGCGGUUUCCGAAUAUUUGUAGAAUUGCGAAAUGACGUUAGUCAUGAAGCAAUUCGUAUAUCA